rnacentral:lncRNA from 1 species
GUAGCAAGGGAGUCACCUGAAUAAGGAGUCUUCACGCCAUCAUAUGGGAGACUCCUCACACCAUGAAGAAAAAGGGGAUGCCUCCUUUUGAUUGCCGCACCAACCUCUUCACUUCUCAUCGUGUGAUUAUUUCCUUCUUUUAUACAUGAUGCCUCAUAUGCCUGAUCAAGUCCUAACCAAUUUAGAACAUGUAAUUCAAUCCAAAUUGAAUUAGUUAUAACCUUAUCCAACUAGAGAACUAGGUA